rnacentral:rRNA from 1 species
UACGUAGGGGGCGAGCGUUGUCCGGAUUUAUUGGGCGUAAAGAGCGUGUAGGCGGUUCGGUAAGUCUGUCGUGAAAUCCUGAGGCUCAACCCUGGACGUGCGAUGGAUACUGCCGGGCUAGAGGAUGGUAGAGGCGAGUGGAAUUCCCGGUGUAGCGGUGAAAUGCGCAGAUAUCGGGAGGAACACCAGUAGCGAAGGCGGCUCGCUGGGCCAUUCCUGACGCUGAGACGCGAAAGCUAGGGGAGCGAACAGG